rnacentral:sRNA from 1 species
CUCUUUCUCUGCCUCUGACAUUCGUCCUAAAGAUUUAUUUCGACUUGUGAAUAGGCCAAGCUUCGAUCUUCUGGUAGUGAAUCUGCCAGAUCAAGAGUAUGAACUCAUUCAGUCCAUUGAUUGGACUAAUUACACAAUCGGAGUUAUCAAUGUAGUGCUCAGGCUGGACUAUCCGGCGGAUAAAUACUCACAGCUAUCGAACUAUUUACAGAGCAAAAGCUACCAGGUUUAUCACCAUCUGAUGGAUGUGGAAGCGGAUAAAAAAGACGUCAUUUUUAGCAGAAUAUGGCAUUGAAAGGAUGCGUCUGGUGGAUUUGUAACAAGAUAACAUUCCUGUGAUGACACGGCUUGUGUUAAUGAUUGCAGUGGUCGUUAAAAAUUCUGCCAGAACACUCAUGUAAAUGUAUACAGUUUUCGAUUACCAGUGUUAUUUAUUGUAUUUAUGUAGAUUUGUUAAACUGGUGUUAGGAAAAGGGGAAAUUCUUAGAUUUGUUGAGCAAAUAAUUAAAUACAGCACGGCUUAAAUGAUAAAAUAUCUUUUUCCUUAGCUUCAGCGAUACAGUCUUUAGAAAAUAGCUUGCUCAAUUUCUUUCAAAGUGUUUACUAUCCUUCUGGCUCUGUCUGUCUGUCUGUCUGUCUGUCUGUCUGUCUCUCUCUGAUUUAUAAUUAUGUAUUGGCAGCCACUUAAGAUAUUGCAUUUUGUUUUUCGGCUUGGAAGACAUUCGCCUUAAGAUUAUGAUAAUUAUGAAUGAAUGCCUAUAGGUCAGUGAGAAUGAUUCCAUGUUUGAUUGAACCAAACAGAUUGCCAUGACUUCAAUCUACUAGAGAAGCAAACAAUCACAUUCACGUUCAGAUUUUUCCCUUUCAGGUUUAGUGAUCUAUAGGAUCAUCUGUUUCUGUGGCCUACGGUUAACGAUUUAGUUAGCUAGAUUUGGUCUGGCGAUAGAUAUAGUAGGUUGACUGGAGAUAUAUUUAGUAUGUUGGCUGGGGAUAGAUUUAGUAGGUUGGCUGGCGAUAGAUAUAGUAGGUUGGCUGGGGAUAGAUUUAGUAGGUUGGCUGGCGAUAGAUAUAGUAGGUUGGCUGGGGAUAGAUUUAAUAGGUUGGCUGAAGCUAGAUUUAGUCUGGCGAUAGAUAUAGUAGGUUGGCUGGGGAUAGAUUUAGUAGGUUGGCUGGGGAUAGAUAUAGUAGGUUGGCUGGGGAUAGAUUUAGUAGGUUAGCUGGGGAUAAAUUUAGUAGGUUGAGUAAAGAUAGAUUUAGAAGGUUGGCUGGCGAUAUAUAUAGUAGGUUGGCUGGGGAUAGAUAUAGUAGGUUGGCUGGGGAUAGAUAUAGUAGGUUGGCUGGAGCACUGUGUGUGAUCGCCUCGUCAAUUAUGAUGCAAUAGUUUUGAUGGACUCCAGCUUUUCGACACGAAAUACUUUAACAAAUGAAGAGUGGUCUAAUGACUUCCACCAUUUGACAUGACGUCAACCUGAGUCUUGUUCUGGUUGUUUCUAUUUUAAAUAUAGUCUGAUUGAUAGCCUACGAAAUGUCGAUUUGUUGGUGCUCAUGUAUAGCGCAUAAUUUAUUUGAUUUAUCACCUCAAUAUUUGUGAUUUAUGUUAAGCCUAUGAAAGUAAAGGCGACAGAAAUGUUUAUUGUUUAGAUUCCACGGAGAAGAUGUGUAUUUUGUUUCUGGUUGACUAGAAUUAGCGAGAA